GAGACAGAGACAGAGAAAGAGAGAGAGAGAGAGAGAGAGAGAGAAAGAGAGAGAGAGAGAGAGAGAGACUGUGUAAAGAAGUAAAGAAACAUGCCAACCUUGUGACUACCAACCGUCUCCAUCUUCCACCACCCUCACAGAACCAUAUUUGCCAGUGGCAAAUUUCUUUACUACAAUCAACACUGCGUAUAAUGGAUCGUUUGGUGCAGGCAGAAGACUUUAAUCCAUCUGAGCCCAUUUUAGUGACAGAUGUUAUUUUUUCCGUGGUGUGGAGUUUGAUUCUUCGUCUUUUCACUUCGUUUUCAGGAAAGUUCAAAGACGUUUUGAAAUGAUUGAAAUGCUCCAUCUCUCAACAGACACAUGCGACUAAAGGCAUCUCAUAGGAUUGUAAACAUUCUUCAUGUAUUUAUAAGGGAACAGAUUUAAGAAGGCCAUGAUGAACAGCUAUGAAUAAUCAAAUGCAUUCAAAAUGCUGGGACUGAAUAAGGGAGUCAACAUUAGGUGGCUGUAACCUAGAAAUGUGGAGACAUAUGGUAGACGUCGCCGUUAGGAGAGACACAAAAAAACAUCACCACGCCUGAAACAUUCAUACACUGCGGGGACCUAUCUGUACAAACGCCUUGAAGGUAUUUGAGUGUUUGAUUUGUGUUCUGCCUCAAAGCGGGGCCUGCUGCCAGCUUGGGGAGGAGCCGAGGAGAGGGGAGAGGAUGGUCGGAGAAGGAGAGAGGGGGAGCAGAGAGAAAAUGGGAUUUACUGCUCGAUCUUGAUGGCUUGGCAUAGGCAAAGAGUAGAUUGUAGAAAACAACAAAAGCUAUUUCAACAAAGGGAUUGCUAGGAGGUCUGUAUAUGAUUUGUUCUGCCUCGUUGUUCUUUUGUUGUUCUUUAUCUGUGAGGGGAGCAAUUUGUGUGGGUGACACUUUUUGUCUGUGGUUCUUUUUUUUGUUGCUUCCAAGGCGCAAUUAUAGAACAAAAGGAGUUUUGUUAACACCUCUAGCUUGCAGGGCUGAAUAAAGCAGAUUAUCUCAGCAGAUGACUAGUCCAUUUCAGAAGGAGGUUGUGAGAAAUCAGCAUGGUUAGCCAGAUGGAGCUGACUGUUGUAGCCGAUGCAAAUCAGAAGUGAAAGAAAUGAAGUAUAACAGAUCAACCACACCUGCCCCCACAAAGCUUCAUUUCCAGAACAACAGCACAACAUUCCCCCUUGAUCCUUGGUUGUCAACGUGUGGCCUCUAUGGAAUGCAAAUGAAGACUUUUAAUGUCAAUGUUAAUACAAAUUUGAGAAAGAUGCAAUUACUGCCUUGGGUUGCAGUCUGAAAAGAAGAAAGGGCUAUGUUCGUUUUCUUCCAGACCUACCCAUGUUCUACAGUAGUAAUCUUGUAUUUUAAUAAUAACCAGGAAACAGUAUGAGUCUGAUUGGUAAUUUAUAUGAAACCGCUAGAAUGGGGGAACAGUAAUUGCAGAGCAAGGCCUAUGUUUGGCUGCGUGAAACUGCUGUUCUUUGUGACCAGCAGUAUUAUCACUACAUCUUGAUCUUUUGCAGCAAUCAAGGCAUGCAGGACUUUCAUUUUCACUGUUACUUGGAGUGCUAUUCUGGGGCGUGACUUUUGAGAUUGAAAAACCGGACCACAAUCACCUGACCUUUAUUAAGAUCCUCAAAACAUGACCGAAACUCCACCCACUCUCCACAGAGAGUGGAGUUUCUCCAAAGAAAGUUGAGCAACAAACUCAAACGAGAUCAAACAAGGCUAUGGUGAGUGUAACAUGUUGAAAACUCAGAUUUACAGUCACAGAUGUAUGGGAACUCUCGCGUGAUCUGACCCGUGUUGGACCCCCACGGAGGCCUGGUUAUGGUGAUUUACGAUGAGACGUACUUUCAAAUGGGAACCUCAGCCAUCAUGAGGAAAGCACACGCAACAUCCAAGCCGUGAAGAAAGGAAGAAUGGACAGGGAGGAGGAGGAGAAAGGAAGACAUGGAAGCAUGGAUGGUACUCAAGAGACGUUUUGAUGAGGGCAAGUCAGUGGAGCCAGCGGCUGUUUGUUCCACAGCAGAAUGUCAAGCAGCCCAGAAGCUGCUUGGACUGAGUCAGAGAAGUGAAAAUCAUGUCAGGCAUUAGAGAACACGACUCUGUGACUCCGAGGGCCCACAGCGCCACCCGCCAACACGGGGAGGGUUCAGACAGGAGCAUCUAUUACCGUCACAGUCACCGUUACAGGGAAGCUAUGUGGACAACAAUGGAGGAGACAUUUUGUUUACGUUCAGUAAGCAAGUCAACGACCCAGAAAAGUUGCUGUCCCUUACGCCUUUUGAUGUAUAACUGUAAAUACGAAACAGAAUUAUAUCCUAAUAAUGUUUGACAAUGUAAUCGUUUUUCUCAGUCGUUUUGGUACAUUUCUUUAAUCCACCUCAAUAUUUGUAUUUGCAAAUAUUAUAUUACAUAACAUUUUAGGAUGUUAGGAGAAUUUCUCAAAACAAUCUGCACCACACAAUAGAUGACCUCUAAAAGCGUGUAAUUUGCUCAAAAUCUUUAGUUAAUCUCUCAAAAGUAAGUAUAGCGUAGAUUAUGAGCCACAUUGACACAUUUCAGAGUUGGUACUUUCAGUUCAGGUGUCCAUUUUCCCUCCCACAGAGGCAAAUUCAAUUCUAUGUUUGGAUUUCAGUUUUGCUUCCCAGGGUCUUUGUGGUCAACGCUGCCUCCCUCACAUCCAUAGAAGCUGGUCCUAGGUCUUAAGUCACUGUUGCACUGUAAACCAAAGAUUAAUAAACUCAUUGCCUCCCUGGCAAGCAGUGCAGUUCAUUUUAAUAACAUUGAUGUUUGACUGCCUGGACUGAAUCUUCUUGGGGCCAGACUUUGCAAUAUGAGGAAACUCCACGUUGUUGUGUGUGCAAGUUAUGUCGAUGGUCAGUACUCAGUUUACAAGAAAAAACACGUCCAACUCUGAGUAUAUACCAGUAGUGUUAUGCUAGUGUGUAAUUAUUUGAGAGCUGUGGCAAAUUUUAUAUCUCAUCUGUGCCUCACGUUUACCUGUGAAUCAGGUUCUGAUUACGGGCAUGGAAACUCUGUGUUCACUUUGGUAGGCAAUCAAUAGCAUCUAUUGAUCCAUUAAGUGCUGGACAGAACGUAGAACUCACAGUAGGGGCGAAGUGAUCGAUGACUGCUGUCCCCCACGACUCAAACCGGGAAUAGAUUUUCGGAGAAAUGUAUUAAAAUAUCCACAGAGGAACCCCCCACCCAAAAUAAAAUGUAAUCCUUGAAUAUUUAAAAGAGUUCCGAAUUGGUGACAUAGCAAAUACGGAUCCUUUGGAGUCCCAGGCUCCAGGAAAUUGAAGAGUGGUGAGAGGAUGAAUAGUAGGUAGAGAAAGGGCAAAGAAAAAAGAGGAGAGGGACAGCAGGGAGAUUGAGGUUUCUAAAGGGUAAUGACUGCGUCAGGAUGAGGAUUACAAUUCUGAAGGAUUUGCAUCAAGUCUGUAGCUGGGGGGGGAAAACAACCCUCGAAUCUAUACCAUCACAGUCUUUUAAAGGGGAUUUGUCAUAUUCUUCUGUUGGAGGAGAUGCAACUGAAUACAGACAAAUGCAACUUAUUGUGCGACACUACAGAGCAGAAACAUAAACUAUUGGCCUGUUGGGCUGUCGGCUACUUCCUUCUUCGUCAAAUUUAUCGUUCUUUCAUGUGAGAGCAAAUGAGGUAAGAGAGCUUGUCUUUGAGGUCACGUAGGCAUAGUUCGUUCAUUUGCAGGACAAAGGAGGUAAGUAGCCUUAGUAAAGGACAACAUGCACUUUCAUGCAGGAUGACUCACAGAU